CCUACGGGAGGCAGCAGUGGGGAAUAUUGGACAAUGGGGCAACCCUGAUCCAGCCAUGCCGCGUGUGUGAAGAAGGCCCUCGGGUUGUAAAGCACUUUCAGUGAGGAAGAACGCCUGGUGGUUAAUACCCAUCAGGAAAGACAUCACUCACAGAAGAAGCACCGGCUAACUCCGUGCCAGCAGCCGCGGUAAUACGGAGGGUGCGAGCGUUAAUCGGAAUUACUGGGCGUAAAGCGCGCGUAGGUGGCUUGAUAAGCCGGUUGUGAAAGCCCCGGGCUCAACCUGGGAACGGCAUCCGGAACUGUCAAGCUAGAGUGCAGGAGAGGAAGUUAGAAUUCCCGGUGUAGCGGUGAAAUGCGUAGAGAUCGGGAGGAAUACCAGUGGCGAAGGCGGCCUUCUGGACUGACACUGACACUGAGGUGCGAAAGCGUGGGUAGCAAACAGGAUUAGAUACCCCAGUAGUC
rnacentral:rRNA from 1 species